CACUGUACAGGACAGUGUGGACGAUAUGGAGGUAGCUGUUACGGAUACCUGGAAAAAAAAAAAAGGCCAAAAACGGUCAAAUGUUGAUGCCUUUGAUUCGAAGGAGCAGAAUUAGGUCCAGAUCGUGUCAGGCUCGGCGGACCCUCGAGGAACGUCUGACAUUGGAAACCCUUUGGUGGUGCCGGAGUCGUGUGCGGAUGUGGAAACUUCGCUUGUUCCACUGGCCGACUCCGAGCGGGACACAGAGAACGGUCCAACUUGUCUGUUUAUUUGUUCAUCUCUUCAGACGUUGAUGGAACUCCUCUAUUUACUUUUCUUUCCAAGCCUUCAAGUUAAUCAGCCACCUUUUGAUUUUACCAAGGAAUGAGACUUUCCAAAAGCAUCGGCCUCACCUGGGGCUUCUUGACAUUGCUAGGUCUUGCUUUGGGGGAAACCACAUCGAAGGGUGAUCCUUCUAUGUGUUCAUGGUUUUCAACUAUUCGCAGGCAACGUGUAAGUAAUAUACCUGUGGCUGUAGUUGGAGGCUUACAAACUUUAACUCCUUCAUACAGGUUUUGGAAAAUGCUCCGCAUGGUAGCGUACAGUAAGCAGCCAAGUGCCAGGCAGAAGUGUGCUAUGGUGGCCCGUAGACCAGCACGAUCAGUGGGUCCCAGCCUUGCAGUGAUACGGACAUUCUGGGACUCCAAGUCACCAAAUGCACCUCGUCCACCUCUUUAUGAAUAUCGCCACCCAAAGGAAGACAAGUCGAUGAUGUAUUUUCAGUUGCCGGAUGUGUGGCUCACUGAGAUGACCCCUUUGAGAGAAGGGUAUGGGAGCGAUUCCAUCAUCUGGGGACCCACUGCUACAGCUGAAUAUCCUACUGCCUCUCGUGCAAGCCCAACAGUUAACCCGCAGGACACAACGGGCCCAUUUCCUGUUGACAACCCUGAAAUGGUUAGCCAAGAUGAUGAGAUGGAGGGGAAUCGUCCAAGCAUCAAUCCCACAACUCCACUACCACCAUCACCAGUAUUGCCAGAUUGGAGGCGUCACACAGAUUUGAAUGUGAACGACUCUAAUAAGGCUGUUGGUGUUCGAGGGUGGUGGAGCGGACAGAGUGGUUACACGUACCAAAAAAGCAGGGGCUCGUUUGUCGCUCCCACUCUGACCUGCCUUGACUCACUGGCAGCUUGCACAGAGAGCCAGAGCAGCGGACUCACGGCACGGCAAGUUACCACCAUUGCCAGCAUCUGCUCCAUAAGCUUUGUGGUCAUUGCUGCUGCAGUCGUGCUUCGUACCAGCUGGGUUCGGUCACGGAACCAUUUGCGGCAUUCAUUACAACGACGCGACGGUGGUGGCAUUGAGGAGACAUGCCCUGUGACUCUGUCAUCACCAUCCAGCCGAAAGCCGCCAGCUGUGCCACCAAUUUUCACAACAUAUAGUGAUAUUGGUGUGGCGAUGUCACCUCCACAGCCAUCGCAGCCACCAUCCUGUGUCCUCUCAUCACCUGUUAUAAUCACAACAGCAUCCGACAUUGCACCUAGACUGUAUGACGGGAGAAGAAUUCCUCUGUACACUGUCUCCACCACCACUACUGUCGCCUCUGUUGCUCCUACCUUGACAUCGGCUUCAUUUCCACAGCUCCUGCCGGGAAGUCUUCACGGACCACCCAUCGCUAAAACAGCCUACAACGGCAGCAGGUUCGUCGCGCGGACGCGGGGCGGGCGUGGCGCGGCGCUGGGGGGGGCAUCAGCCACAGCCACGACGCCAGCGCGCGUCUUUCGUGCGAGAGCCGAGGUACACUGUGAUCCUGAGCUAACGUAGGCCUGGUGGGCCGGCCAGCCGCAACGAAGCGCUCCUGGCCAGGUGAGGCCUGCUUCCUGCAUACCCAAUACUGCCUUACUCCCUGCUUCCCAAAAUGAUUUGGUCCUGCUUCAGAAUUUCCA
rnacentral:lncRNA from 1 species